rnacentral:rRNA from 1 species
GACGAACGCUGGCGGCGUGCCUAAUACAUGCAAGUUGAGCGCUGAAGGUUGGUACUUGUACCAACUGGAUGAGCAGCGAACGGGUGAGUAACGCGUGGGGAAUCUGCCUUUGAGCGGGGGACAACAUUUGGAAACGAAUGCUAAUACCGCAUAAAAACUUUAAACACAAGUUUUAAGUUUGAAAGAUGCAAUUGCAUCACUCAAAGAUGAUCCCGCGUUGUAUUAGCUAGUUGGUGAGGUAAAGGUUCACCAAGGCGAUGAUACAUAGCCGACCUGAGAGGGUGAGCGGCCACAUUGGGACUGAGACACGGCCCAAACUCCUACGGGAGGCAGCAGUAGGGAAUCUUCGGCAAUGGACGAAAGUCUGACCGAGCAACGCCGCGUGAGUGAAGAAGGUUUUCGGAUCGUAAAACUCUGUUGGUAGAGAAGAACGUUGGUGAGAGUGGAAAGCUCAUCAAGUGACGGUAACUACCCAGAAAGGGACGGCUAACUACGUG